rnacentral:lncRNA from 1 species
CUCUAAUGAGUCCCCCUAAAUCUGCCAUCAGAUGACUUUACUGACUUCAGAUCAUAAUUAACCGACACUCACUUUUUGCAGUUAUGUUGACUUUUUCCCCCCAUUCUGUGUUUGAAUGUCUGGACCCAACCUAAGUCAUAUUUUCCGACAGAUACUUAAUGACCCAACACCAACAAGGGACGCUGUCUUUUCUCGUCACUUCUGAAAGAAAUAGUACAGGAGUGGGAAAGGGGGAAGCAGCCUGGAGUAUUUUCCAGAACCACUUGAUGUCUUAAAAGCUGACCGUCCUCAUCAAUGCAGAGAUUUGGCCCUCGCAGCUGACCGUCCUCAUCGAUGCAGAGAUUUGGCCCUCGCAGCUGACCAUCCUCAUCCAUGUAGAGAUUUGGCCCUCGCAGCUGACCGUCCUCAUCGAUGCAGAGAUUUGGCCCUCGCAGCUGACCAUCCUCAUCCAUGUAGAGAUUUGGCCCUCGCAGCUGACCAUCCUCAGCGAUGCGGAGAUUUGGCCCUCGCAGCUGACAGUCCUCAUCGAUGCAGAGAUUUGCUUCUGUCCCCAGGGUUUUCGUACAUGAGGCUCCUGGAUCCUUACAACACGAUGACAUAAGUACCUUCACACUUGAGGACACUAAGGCUCAGGGAGAAGUAACCCGCCAGCAAUCGAUGAAUCUGGAAUGUGAAUGCCUCUCCUUUCACUCUAUAUCCCUGUUCUUUUCCAGAUAGGAUGUACACGAUCAUUUCUCAACUGCAUAUAUAAAGCAACAGAGAAAAUGUUCUCUGCAAUUGACGAUCAAGACAAAAAAAGCCUCCUUUGUAUUACGGUGCAAUGUAGACUUACUUAACUUUUGUCAGUGGAAAUGUCAAACUUAUUUUAAGAAAAAUGUUCAAAAGAUUUCAAAGAUAUCAGAGGACACCUCAAUAAAAGAACAAUGGAAAUUGUAGCUCAGCCUCUUCUUCCACUGGCCCUGAGUGUACUUGGCAAAGCCCAAUUGCCUGGAGGUAAGUUCCUCUCCAGAGUUCCUGUCUUCAAGCAUCACCUCUUGCUGCUCUCACCUUCUGUUUCUCCAAGUCUGUGUUCUGUUUCCAUACAGAAUGGGAGAUGGAAGAGGAAACAGAGGCAGAACUACCCUUUAUUCUUCCGUGGUAAAAUGAUGAACUAAUUCAUACUCAAAUGAUAAUGGUUGAGUUUUAUCAUGUCUUCCUACCAAUAUUCUGCAGAUUGUCCCCAGAGAAUUGCCACCUGGGGGCAUGGAAAAGUGCCUUAGAGCUGAGCAUGAGAACAGGGUCUGCUCCCAUGGAAGGAGCAGAAAGACGCUGAGGGAUGCUGCAUAACGACGAACCACGCAUUCAGGAGUCCAAAUGCUGUUGGAGUCCUGCAGUAGUAGUGUCUACUAAGCAGCAAAUACUUCCAUAAACCUCAGUGUCCUUUUCUAUGAAAGAAACACGUACCCUUCUCACAGGGUUGCUGUGGGGGAUUAAUUGAAACGAUGCAUGUAAAAGAGCUUUGAAAACUGUAAUGCACUUAUGCAAAUAGGAAUUAUAAAAACCCCUCAGGGCCCUGAGAUGGUAAGAUAUUAUUACCAUGGAGCUGGCUUUGCUUAGUUAAAAUCAAGAGAAGUUUUGAAAGUUAGUAAGAUCUAAGAUUUACAGGCUACCUUUUGUGGCCUUGAUCCAUUUUAUGCUUCUCCUGACUCAGCACUCUGGGGACUUCAAAGAGGAAUCUACUCAGAGAAAAUGUGCACGGACCGGGGAGAAGAGUCAGGAAGCUCGUGACUGGUUACCUUCUCCCUCCCGUGGCAAGCUUCCCAUCCCUGCACAGCGAUGUGGUGAGCUGGCUUUUCUCCUAUUACUAUCCUACAGGCAGGCCAGGACUCUUUCUGGGGGAUCAGCAGGACGCUGAAUUCCACUUGUGCUUUCUCGUAACAAACCAAAGGCAGGUCUUCUCUUAGCCGUGUUGGGCAUCCAGGCCUUUGGACCCGCUGUUUAUUGUCACCUGACACCAGGGCUUUAGAUAGUGCAUGUCAUCUCUCCUCACUCCUUUUAGUCUGAGAGCCAUGGAUUGCAUUGCAAGUCCUUUACUGCCAUUGUAGCAUAUGAUAUAUUUGUGUGGAAGGACACACACACAGUGUCUCUCCUCUUUCUAUUUUCUGUAGCAAGAGCAUAACUACUUCAGAAGUGAGCAAUAGUGAGCUUUGGACAAAAUCUACCACUUGGCUUGAAUCUUAAGGUAAUACUGUGUUUGUCACUGACUGAGCAGUUGAAGGGAUGAUAUUCUCCAAAGAUGUACAAUGAUCAUGCUUUCAGAAUAGGUGUUCAUUGGCUCCACAAAUUCCUCGUGAACUUCUACCAUGUGGCCACCUUGGGGUAAAUGCUGAGCAUAGGACUGUUAACUAAGACCAGUGGAGUCUUAGCCACAGGUCACUGGGAGAAGACAGACCUUAAACAAAUAAUUAUGCAAAUGCAUAAUUAACUACAAGAGUAAUAUGUGCCGAUUAGGGUUGUCAGGUAAGAUACCGGACACUCAGUUAAAGCUGAAUUUCAGAUAAAUACUUGGAAUUUACUUAUACUAAAAGAGUAUAUACUGUUUGUUAAAUUCAAAUUUAACUGGGAGGUCUAUACUUUUAGUUGCUGAGUGUGACAACCCCAGCAGUUAUGAAGGGGUGCAGGAUACUCUAAGAACAUAUUUACUGUACGUCUUAAGCUUGUCUGAAGUUAACAGUGAAAUGGACAACUCAGGGCUAGCAGUAGAAGCUGAUGAUCCAUUACCAUUAACUAUAAUUUAGUAUUUCCAAGAGGGCAGGAACCCUCAUACACAGCUAAAGACGCAACAUUGACAAGAUAUGGACAAGGUUUGUCUAAUAAGUACUCAUAGGUAGGAAGCUGAUUUAUAAAAUUUAAUAUUGCCGUACAGGGUGAUUUAUAAAUUGCACCAUGGAAAGGUUUUAUGGGAAAUUUCCAUGCAGAGCUCCAGAGCUCAGGGCAGGUGUAGGACUGCGUUCCGAGAAAGUCCGGAAAUGUUCACCCUGGCCAAUUACUGCAAAUCCUCUGUU